rnacentral:misc_RNA from 1 species
CGUGAGGUCGGAGGUCAAGUCCUCCCAGGCCCACCAGUUUAUGCUCGUUUUUGGCUUAUUCUUGAGCGUUAUGAAGCUUAAGCUUAUCAAAGCCUCUUUAAUCUUUGUUCAUCGUUUAAAGAUUUUAUUUUAUCCUUCAAAAAUUGUUUGUUAAAUUUAUCAAACAGUGCCUUNGUCAAAAAAGGAUUUUAAGUUCCCUUCAAGAGGAUAGACAAAUUUAAAGGAUAAAAAUGAUAAAAAUCAAUACAAGUCGAAAUAAUAUUGAUCGAAAAAAUAGUAUUGAUUAAAAGAGGACAAGUCACUCAAGUUGAUAAAUUUUUUUGAGGUUGAUUUGAGAGAGCAUUCUUUAGGGGCCGUAGCUCAGCUGGGAGAGCACCUGCUUUGCAAGCA